AAAGUCGUAACAAGGUAACCGUAGGUGAACCUGCGGUUGGAUCAUUAAUAAUUGAGACGUGAUUACGGGAACUCUGACCGGGUGGAGGAAUGAACUGUCGGUGGCGUGGAUUUGUUCGUGUGUUCGUCUGUUCGUUUGUUCGUACGUUCGUUCGUUCUUUUCUAUUUCUUUAUCACCACCCAAGUACAGGAAUUUCUUCUGCCGGGAUAUUGGAGUUUGCGGGAGGAACCACGUCGUUAAAUAACGCCUCCACCUUUUGUGAACUGUUCUGUCUCUGGCGGCCGGGUGCUUGUGGGCUUCUUGCUUCUUGCAUCUGUCAGCUUGGUGAAAACCGAGCCGUGGACAAACCGCCAACCACAACCACAUGUAAACCCAUGUUUAUUUUUAUUUAUUUCUUUGUCUGACAUAUUUUUUGUAUGAAUGUACAAACAACUUUUGGCAACGGAUCUCUUGGCUCUC
rnacentral:misc_RNA from 1 species